AUUGAACGCUGGCGGCAGGCCUAACACAUGCAAGUCGAACGAGUGGCGGACGGGUGAGUAAUGUCUGGGAAUCUGCCUGAUGGAGGGGGAUAACUACUGGAAACGGUAGCUAAUACCGCAUACCAGCGGAUGUGCCCAGAGGGGAUUAGCUUGUUGGUGGGGUAACGGCUCACAGAGGCGACGAUCCCUAGCUGGUCUGAGAGGAUGACCAGCCACACUGGGACUGAGACACGGCCCAGACGCCUACGGGAGGCAGCAGUGGGGAAUAUUGCACAAUGGGCGCAAGCCUGAUGCAGCCAUCCCGCGGGUAUGAAGAAGGCCUUCGGGUUGUAAAGUACUUUCAGUCGGGAGGCGUUACCCGCAGAAGAAGCACCGGCUAACUCCGUGCCAGCAGCCGCGGUAAUUC
rnacentral:rRNA from 1 species